AACGAACGCUGGCGGCGCGUCUUAAACAUGCAAGUCGAACGAUCUCUAGCAAUACAGGGAGUGGCGGACGGGUGAGGAACACGUGGGAAUCUACCUUGAAGAGCGGGACAACUUUGGGAAACCGGGGCUAAUACCGCAUAGUACAGAGAUGUUAAAGGGCUAGCAAUAGUCGCUUCGAGAUGAGCCUGCGGUCUAUCAGCUUGUUGGUGAGGUAAUGGCUCACCAAGGCUACGACGGAUAGCCGGUCUGAGAGGAUGAUCGGCCACACUGGCACUGAGACACGGGCCAGACUCCUACGGGAGGCGGCAGUUAAGAAUCUUGCGCAAUGGGGGAAACCCUGACGCAGCGACGCCGCGUGAAGGAUGAAGGCUUUCGGGUUGUAAACUUCGGUAGACUGGGAAGAAGAAAUACGUUCGUUGAGGGCGUAUAGUGACGGUACCAGUCUGAAGCCCCGGCUAAUACGUGCCAGCAGCCGCGGUAA
rnacentral:rRNA from 1 species